rnacentral:lncRNA from 1 species
AGGCCUAGGGGAUACAGAAGCGUCGUUCACAACAAUCCCCACCCCCAGAACUUCACCUUCUUCAAAAGACCCUCCCCCCUAAAGCUUCGCCUUCUCCGAACCCCCCUCCCCACCACGGACUGAUCUUCCUCAGUCGCUGGAUACCAGAAAACGACCCCCUCCCCGAAACUUCCAGCUUGUUUCUGUCCAAACGACCCCUUCGAUUUUUCUGCCUCACCACCUCGUCGUCUCUCAGCACACCCAUCAAAACUAGACCUAAUGCCUAAGAUGAUUUCCGGCGCCGAUUGAAGUUCCAUCCGUUCGAGGUUGCGAAUCCGGUUCGAGUUCGAAAUUUCGUCUUUUGGCACUCCAUUAUGACUGUGUAAUUGCUGAAAUUUUAGUUGAAUGAAGCUUUAAUUUCAGAUGCUCUGAAUUGCCGAUUUGUUUGCUCGGCCAAUCGAUUUUUAAUUUUGGUUCGUAUAUGCUUCGUCGCCAUUAAUCUUAAUUAGCAUCGUUUGAACUGAUGACUGAAUAGUUAGCGUCUUUUCCACCACUGCUUCUUCUUCGCCGGUCGAAAUUCCAGCAAGCUCGAACUCUAAGCAUCUCAGGUCUUUCUUUUCUCUCUCGUAUUUCAAUAUACUCACUGGUACUUCUUCCCUUCUGCCCGCUGCCCAGAUUUCUGCUACAUUUUUAUUCUUGUUGGGUUAAUCUCCUGUCGAGAUUUUUGUUGUUUUUGAGAGUGUAACUGCUAAUGGCUAUUGUUGGGUGAUUAUUGAAUCCCAAUUUGAUGGUUAAAUUUUGGCUAAGGUAUAAAUUUAUGGGGGUUUAGAGAAACGAAGUUUCAGUUAUGUACAUAAGGUGUUUGUGAAAACGAUUGACCGAAUUCAAUCAACAUGGAUUCUUUGAGUUUGAUUUUUGCGUAAUAUGUGGUGUUUUGAAGCUUAAUUCUUGUUGAUUUCUCACUGUUAAUGUACUGUAAUUGAGGUCGAACUUUGAGUUUGUGUUGAUCCCUGUUUAAUCUAUGUUAAAUUGUGUGCAAAGUUGAGCAUUUGAGUCAGAUUAAAUGAGCUAAUUGUGUGCCUGAUAACAUGUGAUUGUUAUUCACUCAUUUGUCGGAAAAUGAUUAAAACCUAUUAUCGUUGUUUUCGUUUACUUGAUUUGCUUUCAUGUUGUGGCUAUUAUUUUUGCAAUAUUGAAGCAUAUUUUAAUGUUGUCAACAUUCAAUGUGGAUUUGAAGUUCGAUUGGUAUUGUUUUGAGCAAUUGAUUCGUUGGGGUUGGGUUAAGGUCAUGGCCUGACUAUCAAUUUCAUUUGAAUAAGUUGCAUAAAUCAUAUGUCUUUCCACAUUCUUUUCCACAAAGACCUUUUCAGUGAACCUCAAAGUAGUGUAGGCUUAAUUAUGGACACCGUAGUUUUUUAGGUCGGGGUGUGCCAUCAAUUGAAUUUUUCAUGGUCCUCGCAAAUUUGAAAGUGCGUAGUUGCUUUAGGCGCGCUAUUUUAAAAAUUACCUUCCUGAGCUCGGGUGUGCAUUUGUGUGACCCAAAUCCAACACUCAACAAUGUUAGAUAAAAUAUGUCGGGGACCGCGGGUGCAUUCAUGUGACGUGGUUCAAGACGUGUUUUAAAUAACGUUGAAAUCUUCCUGAAAAAAUAAUUCAGUAAAAACGGUUAUAAAGUUAAAAUUGCACCAUAGGCUAAAACAUGUACUAAAAUAAAGUAAAUAGGUCAAUUAUAAUAGUUGAGCGAUCGUGCUAGAACCACGGAACUCGGGAAUGCCUAAUACCUUCUCCCGGGUUAACAGAAUUCCUUACCCGGAUUUCUGUGUUCGAGGACUGUAAUACAGAGUCAAUCUUUUCCUCGAUUCGGGAUUUGAACCGGUGACUUGAGACACCAUAAAAUUAUCCCAAGCGGCGACUCUGAAUUUUUUUUUAAUAAAAUGAUCCCGUUUCGAUUGUCACUUUAAGUUGGAAAAAACUCUCUUAUAUGUCCCCUUCCGGGGUAGUAAAAAGGAGGUGUGACAGCUAGUAUGUUUCCUUGAUUCUUUGAUUUUUUUUUCUAUUGAUUUCAAAAAUAUAUAUUCUGUUCUAUUCUUUGAUUUUUUUUUCCGAUUGAUUUCAAAGGCGGAACUACUGUUUCUUUGAAUUUUCGUUCUAAAAGAUGGAGGCCGAUUGAAUCUCGGAUCAGUCCGUUCGUUGGUUCCAAGCCGCUGUUCGCUAUUUCUGUUCAGGCUCUUGUAAUUGUUUCCUCGCGUGAACUUUGGAACCAAAACAUGUGUAGUCGCUGAUUUUUUUUGUCUCUAAUGUCAGGUUCACUUCCUACCCUUAU